GGGGCCCGCACAAGCAGCGGAGCGUGUGGUUUAAUUCGUUGCUACACGAAGAACCUUACCUGGGUUUGACAUAUAGGUUGUAGGGAACUGAAAGGGACCGACCCUUCGGGGAGCCUAUACAGGUGUUGCAUGGCUGUCGUCAGCUCGUGUCGUGAGAUGUUCGGUUAAGUCCGCUAACGAGCGCAACCCUCGUCGUAUGUUAUAUGUGUCAUACGAGACUGCCGGUAAAAGCCGGAGGAAGGUGAGGAUGAUGUCAAGUCAGCAUGACCUUUAUAUCCAGGGCUACACACACGCUACAAUGGUCUGUACAAUGGGUAGCCAAGCCGCGAGGCGGAGCCAAUCCUGAAAGCAGGCCUCAGUUCAGAUUGCAGUCUGCAACUCGACUGCAUGAAGCCGGAGUUGCUAGUAACCGCAGGUCAGCAAUACUGCGGUGAAUACGUUCCCGGGUCUU
rnacentral:rRNA from 1 species